CGAACGCUGGCGGCGUGCCUAAUACAUGCAAGUCGAGCGGACGUUUUUGAAGCUUGCUUCAAAAACGUUAGCGGCGGACGGGUGAGUAACACGUGGGCAACCUACCUUAUCGACUGGGAUAACUCCGGGAAACCGGGGCUAAUACCGGAUAACAUCUAGCACCUCCUGGUGCCGGAUUAAAAGAGGGCUUCUUGCUCUCACGAUGAGAUGGGCCCGCGGCGCAUUAGCUAGUUGGAGAGGUAACGGCUCCCCAAGGCGACGAUGCGUAGCCGACCUGAGAGGGUGAUCGGCCACACUGGGACUGAGACACGGCCCAGACUCCUACGGGAGGCAGCAGUAGGGAAUCUUCCGCAAUGGACGAAAGUCUGACGGAGCAACGCCGCGUGAGUGAUGAAGGGUUUCGGCUCGUAAAGCUCUGUUAUGAGGGAAGAACACGUACCGUUCGAAUAGGGCGGUACCUUGACGGUACCUCAUCAGAAAGCCACGGCUAACUACGUGCCAGCAGCCGCGGUAAUACGUAGGUGGCAAGCGUUGUCCGGAAUUAUUGGGCGUAAAGCGCGCGCAGGCGGCCUUUUAAGUCUGAUGUGAAAUCUUGCGGCUCAACCGCAAGCGGCCAUUGGAAACUGGGAGGCUUGAGUACAGAAGAGGAGAGUGGAAUUCCACGUGUAGCGGUGAAAUGCGUAGAUAUGUGGAGGAACACCAGUGGCGAAGGCGACUCUCUGGUCUGUAACUGACGCUGAGGCGCGAAAGCGUGGGGAGCAA
rnacentral:rRNA from 1 species